UACGUAGGGAGCAAGCGUUGUUCGGAUUUACUGGGCGUAAAGGGCGCGUAGGCGGCAUGGCAAGUCACUUGUGAAAUCUCUGGGCUUAACCCAGAACGGCCAAGUGAUACUGUCGCGCUAGAGUGCGGAAGGGGCAAACGGAAUUCUCGGUGUAGCGGUGAAAUGCGUAGAUAUCGAGAGGAACACCUGAGGUGAAGACGGGGUGCGGGGCCGACACUGACGCUGAGUGCGCGAAAGCCAGGGGAGCAAACGGG
rnacentral:rRNA from 1 species